rnacentral:rRNA from 2 species
CAGUGGGGAAUAUUGCACAAUGGGCGGAAGCCUGAUGCAGCAACGCCGCGUGAGGGAUGACGGCCUUCGGGUUGUAAACCUCUUUUAGCAGGGAAGAAGCGAGAGUGACGGUACCUGCAGAAAAAGCGCCGGCUAACUACGUGCCAGCAGCCGCGGUAAUACGUAGGGCGCAAGCGUUAUCCGGAAUUAUUGGGCGUAAAGAGCUCGUAGGCGGUUUGUCGCGUCUGCUGUGAAAUCCCGAGGCUCAACCUCGGGCCUGCAGUGGGUACGGGCAGACUAGAGUGCGGUAGGGGAGAUUGGAAUUCCUGGUGUAGCGGUGGAAUGCGCAGAUAUCAGGAGGAACACCGAUGGCGA